CCAUUGCCUGCCGCAGCCAACCUCGAUUUAUCAGGUUGGUUCACGGUGGGCGCUGGCGGGGGAGACAUUUAUCACAGCGUGUCUCGCGCCCGACCCCGCUAUUUACUCCUGUGCCUACUCCUACUUUCCGUAGGGGUAGGCAUCUUUUUGCUGCCCGCUCGGUAGGCAGCUUA
rfam:Hepatitis C virus strain 105431TF2.TC2 polyprotein gene, complete cds